GAAAGGAAAUGAUUUGGCUAUGACCCCAGAUGAUCUGGAUAUUAUAUUUGGUCACCCUAUUCAUUUCCAGGAUUCACUGGUUAGGCUGUUGUCUCCCUUCCUCCUUCACUGCUUCAUGUGCGUCCUUCCUGAACCUGUUCACUUGAUGGAAGAGGGCAAACAAUCCAAGGGCUUUACCAUUCUUUGGUCUAGGGCAGGGGUCCUCAAACUUUUUAAGCCGAGGGCCGGUACACAAUCCUUCAGACUGUUGAGGGGCCGGAUUAUCAUUUGAAAAAAAAUACAAACAAAUUCCGAUGCACACUGCAUAUGUCUUAUUU
rnacentral:snRNA from 11 species